UAUGCUGCAUGGUUCUUGCCAUGGGCUGUACUCUUGUCAGAUCUCAUAAGCUAAGCUAGAUGGGACUGGUUAGUAUUGGGAUGGAAGACCUCAAAGAAAACUAAGACUGUGGAAUAC
ensembl:rRNA 5S_rRNA 5S ribosomal RNA